rnacentral:rRNA from 1 species
AGGGUGUAAACGCUGCAGACUUGGUGUUGGAAGUCCUUUGGGGGCAUUCAGUGCCGGAGAGAAGUUGUUAAGUCUGCUACUUGGGGAGUACGUCCGCAAGGAUGAAACUUAAAGGAAUUGGCGGGGGAGCACCGCAACGGGAGGAGCGUGCGGUUUAAUUGGAUUCAACACCGUAAACUCACCAGGGAAGACUGUUACAUGAAGGCCGAGAUGAAGACUCUGCUAGAUUUUCAGAGAGGAGGUGCAUGGCGUCAGUGACU